rnacentral:lncRNA from 1 species
CUUAAUUCUCAUGGUAUUCAAGGUAUCUUUAACCCUCUCCUUUUCGACGUUAUACGAUUAUAUGGUAUUAAGAUUUAAAACAAAAAAAAUUAAAAAUAUGCUUCCGCAUGCGGGAUACGAUUCCCUUCAAAAAAAGCAAAAGACAAAUGGGUUGAGAAAAUACCAAACAUUUUGUGGGCCUAACAGACCACACUGUGGGAAGUAAUGAACAAAAUGUGUUAUUCUCUAGCUUUUGGUUUUGAAAUUGUAAUCUCGGUGGAGGACGGUUUGCCCACAAUACGAAUCGAAGCGCACGACAAUAGUCACAAUGCGGAGGUCUUAGCUCGUGACCUCGACCUUGCCGAUGAAUGAAGAAAAAAUGCACUAGUACGAAUGGCCAACUACCAGAAACAAUUGAAAAAGAUGUACAAUAAGAAAGUUCAAUACAGAGAAUUCUCAAUUGGCAAUCUCAUUAUGAGGAAAGUUGUUGGAAACAUUAAGGACCAUGCAGAUGGGAAACUCGGCCCAAAUUGGAAAGGUCAUACAAAAUAAUUAAGCUUGCCGGCAAUGGCGCUUAUCACCUUGAGGACUUGGAGGGCAAGUAAGUCUCGAGACCUUUGAAUUCCAACAACGUGAGAAAACAUGUAACUUCUCUAUGUGCCGAGCUUGUAUUUUCCAAAGUUGUACAUUGUACCAAAUUGCUUUUUUAAGAAAAAUUAUUUAUGGCAUCUCUCUCUUUUUCGAUUUUAUUUGCAAAAUGCUAUAUUUUUACUAUGUAGUGUGAGCGCUUCCAAAAGUUCCUUGCAAUAUUUUAAAAAGUUUGGAAAAUGUAUAUAGCUUGGCUUUAAGAAGUUCCAUACUUUGAUAUCAAGACCUUGCUUUCCAAAAAAUUUCUAAGUACAAAAUUUUCAUGAGUUUGAUUUUAAAUCGAGAUGCAAUUCUCAUGCCCGAGCACCAACCUCAUGGAGUCCUAAGCAAAGCGCGAGAGUAUUCACCAAACUGCCCAAGCACAAGCUUGAGGUGUCCUAAAGCUAGCACGAGACUAUUCGCCGACCUGUUUAAGCAUGAGCUUAAGAUGUCCUAAACCAAGCUCGAGACUGUUCGCCGAACUGCCCAAGCACAAGCUUGGGGUGUCCUAAAGCUAGCACAAGACUAUUCGCCGACCUGCUUAAGCAUGCUUAGCUUAAGAUGUCCUAAAGCAAGCGUGAGACUGUUCAAGCCGUCUAAGCACCUAGCUCAGGAUGGUCCUAAACAUUCACAAAGCAAUGCAAAGAGCAAAUAUACACUAAGGCAUUCACAAGCUACCCAAGUACCGGGGUGUCCUGAAGUAUUCAACAUGCAAAAGAGGCAGAAAUAUGUUAAGGUAAAUGCAAGUAUACACCAAACUGAGGAAAGAAAGGCACUUCUUAUUCAGAAUUUAUAAAAUUUAUAAAUUGUUCAAAAGAAUAUUUACAAGUUCAAAAAUUAGAACCAACCCCCUUACAUUCCAAUAAAACACUUUUACAUCUCCAGUGCGUUGUCCUACAGGCCUUCCUCAGCUCGGUCUACGAUUGCUCUUGCCUCUGCUCCUUUUUCUGCUAAUUCUGCCACCUCGGCCCCGCCAUCGUCAUCAUCAUCAUCUUCCUUUGUUGCCUGGUUGGCAUGCUCCUCUUCACUGCAGCUUGGGAGGAGGAUUGGCGAGUACAACUUGGGCGGGUCUGGGAGAGCUACUGGAGGUUUCGCUGCUGUCCAUGCGGGAUGAUCAAGAGUGUUGAGCUCCUGAAGACACGCAAGCUAGCCCUCGUGAAAUAUAUCUAGGCACAUCAGGGCUACCUCACAGACAUAGUGCAUGCCAGCCUUGUUCCAGCCACAGUCAAAGACCCGCUGGGUCACAUUCUGGUGAGCCUUGUCCAUUGCAUUACGGGGCAAGGGUUACUUGCUCUAGUGCAAGGGCAGCAACAUUGGCAGAAGAUUUGCACUCCUCGGCAAGUGCUGCUUCUGUAGAGACAAGCUCCUCCCUGGUCUUCUUCAACUCGGCAUCUAGAUUUUGAUCGUUUGAAGAGAAGGCAGACUUGUUGAGAAGCUAUACAAAUUAUGUCAAAAGAAUCAUGUCUUGGCCUGCAAAAUAACACACUGCAACUCAGGUCUUCAUCUCCUAAUAGUUUUGCGACUCUUCGAUCAAGAAGUUUUCACUUCAGGAAAACCAAAAUGGAAAUUAGCAAACUGAUGAAAUUUGUAGUACAAUUUCCACACAAAAAAGGCAGUCUCGGAUUAUUUUAGCUAAAUGAUGACAUACAGAUUUAUGAUUUAUGUCAAUAUUGACAAAGAAACACCACCACCAUCAAAACCACUACCACUAGCCCCCCCCCCCCACCCAACCCAACCCAACCCAACCCAACCCAAAAAAAAGAACAAACGAAAGGAAAAAAGAAGAGUUGUUAUUUUCACUCCCCUUUCUCCAAUUGCACUCCAUUUCUAUCUUUAUUACGGUGAGUUUAUUACCUCCAAUUAACCCUAAUAAAGACGGGAAAAGGAGUGCCAU